GAGGUUCUCUUUUCUUUGUUCUUUGUUUGCCGAAGCUCGUUGGAGUUCUCGAAAUCUCGUUGUGGUCGUGGAAAUCUCCCUGCUCGUUCUGGUCUCAGUUACGCUGCUCAAGAAGUGGUAAACAACUCUUGGCCUUUUUUUUUCUUCAUUCCUAUUCCAAUGAGUGUUGAAUUGUAAAAUAUUCCUUGUUGAUUCUGAGAUGAGUUCAUAUGACCUGUUUUGAUUCUAAGUUAUUUUUAUCAUCUUAUUUCUCUCAGAAAUCGGCAGUGUAUGUUUUCAUUCUAAAGAUGGUAUCACCUGUUUAAGCUUGUUAUCUAUGUUUAUGGUCUUUCUCGAGUUCAUUGGUUGUUGUGCUCAUUUUCAUUUUGGCUUGUUCACUUAACCUAACAUUGAUACUGCUCUGUUCGUGUUUUGUUGAGAUAAUGUUCUUUGUUUGUCACAUGUUUUGAAGAUGUCAAAGGAUCUGUUCCUUUUUUAUUUACUUUUAUCUCUGAGUUUUAGAUUAACAAUUUUGUUUAGAUCAGUGGAGUCUAGCUUUGUUAUAGUUGUGUUGUGGCAUGAUUGAUCCUUCCAUUUUUUGUUUAUUUGAUCAUGUUUCCUGUCGCUUAGAUGUUGUUCAGGUCUAGUUCGAAUGUGUUGUUUUUUUCCAGAAAUUAUAGAUACUAUUUCUGUUUGUUCCAUCUUGCUCACUAAACAGAGUAUGUAUCGGCUGCGAUGGUAGUUUUCUUUAUUUGGUUUGAUCAUCUGGUAGGUUAAUUUAAUGUUCUCUUUUUUUUAGAGUUUAGUUGAGAUUUGUUGUUGAUAUUAUAUGUCUGUUAGAAGAGUCAAUUUGGUAAAAUUGAAGUGUUAUGGUCUAAGUUAGUUCUUAAUAAUUUACUUCCUAUUCUGCUUGUUGAUGUGUAUUCAUUUGGAUUGAUUAUGUUCAUUAGCAUGUUGUUAGCUUUUUGAUGAAGAAGUCUUGGCUCUUUACUUUUUAUUAUCCUCUGUAAAUCUUUUUUCUUUUGGUUUAUUGUUUUACUUUUAGAAAUAUCACUGUUGCAUUUUUUUAUUAUGAUUUAUUCUGAGCGUUACUUAUGUUUUCUUUUCAUUUUAUUGUGCAUGUGAAAUAUGCCUCCGAGUCCUCAUGGACUCUUUCUCCUAUCCUUGCAUCUUCUUAUUGGGCCACGAAGGCCCAAUUCUACCUUUAUUGAGUCGGCUAGUCAUGAAGAAUCGAAGAACAAGUCCUUGGAAUUGACGUACAUGUGUCUAUAGCUGAUAUACAGGCCUUAGAACGAAAAGAUGAGGAUGU
rnacentral:lncRNA from 1 species